rnacentral:rRNA from 1 species
AGCUCGUGUCGUGAGAUGUUGGGUAAGUCCCGCAACGAGCGCAACCCUUGUGUUUAGUUGCAAACAAGGUCAAGCUGUGCACUCUAGACAGACUGCCGUGGACAACACGGAGGAAGGUGGGGAUGACGUCAAAUCAUCAUGCCCCUUAUGAUCUGGGCUACACACGUGCUACAAUGGCCGGUACAACGGGCAGCGAAGGAGCGAUCCGGAGCGAAUCCUAAAAAGCCGGUCCCAGUUCGGAUUGCAGGCUGAAACUCGCCUACAUGAAGUUGGAGUUGCUAGUAAUCGCGAAUCAGAAUGUCGCGGUGAAUGCGUUCCCGGGUCUU